CCUAAAUUGAAUAUAAACCAACUAAUGUCAAAAACACUAUUAAUUAACGACCUAUUAAUGACACUCCCACUUUUUUGACAUUUUUAAAUGUUAAAUUAAACAAUAAGUUCUAGUCCAAGAGCAUAUCGUUUGGCAACUAGUCGCGCUUUGAAACUAUUUACUCUUCCAUCAGAAUCGUGCUUCGCUGUUCGACCGGGUGGCAACUGUACAAGUCUCCAGGUCUUGUUUUCCAUCAGUGAAUUGUA